rnacentral:rRNA from 1 species
UUGGUGGCGACCGGCGCACGGGUGAGUAACGCGUAUGCAACCCACCUAUCAGAGGGGAAUAACCCGGCGAAAGUCGGACUAAUACCGCAUAAAACAGGGACACCGCAUGGUGAUAUUUGUUAAAGAAAUUCGCUGAUAGAUGGGCAUGCGUUCCAUUAGGUAGUUGGUGAGGUAACGGCUCACCAAGCCGACGAUGGAUAGGGGAACUGAGAGGUUGGUCCCCCACACUGGUACUGAGACACGGACCAGACUCCUACGGGAGGCAGCAGUGAGGAAUAUUGGUCAAUGGGCGAGAGCCUGAACCAGCCAAGUCGCGUGAAGGAAGAAGGAUCUAUGGUUCGUAAACUUCUUUUGCAGGGGAAUAAAGUGCAGGACGUGUCCUGUUUUGUAUGUACCCUGAGAAUAAGGAUCGGCUAACUCCGUGCCAGCAGCCGCGGUAAUACGGAGGAUCCGAGCGUUAUCCGGAUUUAUUGGGUUUAAAGGGUGCGUAGGUGGUUUGAUAAGUCAGCGGUGAAAGUUUGCAGCUUAACUGUAAAAAUGCCGUUGAAACUGUCGGACUUGAGUGUAAAUGAGGUAGGCGGAAUGCGUGGUGUAGCGGUGAAAUGCUUAGAUAUCACGAAGAACUCCGAUUG